GGAAGGCAAAAUACGCGNGACGGAGCAAAACCCUAAAAAGACUGUCUCAGUUCAGAUUGCAGGCUGCAACCCGCCUGCAUGAAGUCGGAAUUGCUAGUAAUCGCGGAUCAGCAUGCCGCGGUGAAUACGUUCCCGGGCCUUGUACACACCGCCCGUCACACCAUGAGAGCCGUCAAUGCCCGAAGUCCGUAGCCUAACCGAAAGGAGGGCGCGGCCGAAGGCAGGGGUGGUAAUUAGGGUGAAGUCGUAACAAGGUAUC
rnacentral:rRNA from 1 species